GCCGAAGUCAGAUGCUCAACUGACUGAGCCACCCAGAUGCCCCUCAGAAGAGGAAAAAUACGCAGACACCAAGUUUGUAAACACCUUAAGCCCGUUUGCAUCCCUGAAGAUUCUAUGGACGGCUCUGGGCAAUAACAGAAAAAACCAAUCAACCCAUGGGACACGGAGGUUUUGAGUUGUAAAUACUGGGGCAAUAGUAAAGACAAUUAAACUGGGUGCAAUAUUGAUUGGAGAAAUGGCUGGGAGCUGGAGCAAAUCAGCUUAGCCUGGGGGGAAUUAAGGCUCACGAGUUAAAAAUAGGAAAAGCAGCUCCAGAAACAGCUGAAAGGAGAUUAACCAUCAGACCCUAGGCUGUAGACUGUAGUCCCCAUAAUUCUCAUGUUUGGUCAGUUAUUAUUACGCAACCAUAAAAUCUUAGUGCCAUUCAACAAUAAGUGCUUAUUUUCCAUGCGUCAGCUUGUUGACUGGAGUUGGCUGAUCUAGACUCAGAUGGAUGGUUCUGUUUUAAGCUCAGGCUUGGCUACGGUUGGCUCCACUUGUUUUUAAUCUGGGGCAAACAGGUACGCAGAAGAAUCUCUUUUCAUGGCAAUGACGGAGACUCAGGAAGAUAAUUGCACAAGCACAUUUCAAGCUCUCGCUGAUAGUGCAUUUGCCAACAGCCCAUUGGUCAAAGUAAGUCGUGUGGGCAAGCCCAAAUUCUAAAGACAGGGAAGAAUACUCCUGUGGAGGUAGAAAGGGGGAUGGACACUUUAAAACAAUAAUGUAGUUUGCUGCAUCAUUUAUAAUUGAGCCCAGAUUUUUUGAAGCAGUAUAGCUUUUGUGUAUUCAACUGCAAUAUCUUACUUUCAAUUCUUGGAAAGAAGAGAUGGCCCAAGUAGUGAGUAAUGGAUUCCCGGGUCUGAAUAUUACUCCCUCUUUCUACCACUGAUUGAGAAGCUGAGCAUAUCAGUUUUUCUGCAGUCUCAUCUCUACCAUCUGUUACAUGUAGAUAACAUUUGCUGUUGAUUUACUAUUGCAUGUCUUCCAAGAAACAAGGUAACUCAAAUUUGCUAGAAAACCUCCGUGGAAGGCAGUAAUGAAGGACUCAUCAUUAUUCGAUUCUUGAGCCCCGGUCGUUUUUCUGCACAUCCUUUGAUGUUAUUUAGAAUAUUUUCAGAAUGGAGGAAAAAAUUUGUCCAGACAAGCGUUUGAUGCUUUUCCUCAUCUCUCUCUCCAAAGGAUACUGCUUUGAAUUUGUUUAGCGUUUUAGUAAAUCCAUUAACCUUUCACCUUAGACCUAGAGAAUGGGUCUGAUGGUUUAAUUCCAUUUCCCGAGGAAUUUAAAACCACAUCAUAAACGGCAUCGUGUUAGACAUUAAUUGUGAUGCAUUUUCACACCAAAUUCAGAAGCAGGAUAAUGAAAGUAUAGAAAAUAGUUACUGGAGAAAGCCAAAGGAAUUUGUCAGUCUUGGCUCUUGCUAAUUUUGGCACAGCUGGGUUAACUCCUGCUGAUGGAAAUGGUGUGAUUAUCGCUGGGAACGGACACCCCAAGAGACAAGAGCUGACUGGCGCCUGACCUGCUAUCUACCACCUGGAUAGCACGCCUCACCUCCAUACUUUCCACCACUCACAUCAAACCUAGGAUAGUGCCUACCUUGUGCCUUGGCUCAUGUUCUGCCUGCUCUCUAGCACCUGAACAUCAAGGUCCACUUGAGGGAUUUCGGCAUUCUUGAAGAUCAUAUUUGAAAAAGUGACUCCAGUCAGUGUCUGCUAGACUUGAAGUGGGAUUUAAGAAAAAGCCAGAAUUGGAGCUACCAUGUUGAACUCAGGAUCACCUGGAAUGGAAAAAGCUAGGCUGCAGGUGAGAAACAUCAGAGAACAAGGGAUUAACUGCGUCGCCCAGAGCCACAAAACAAUGACCACGCCCUUCUUUGUUUCAUGAGAGACUCGAGCAGGUAUUUUGGCCUAUAUCUUUCUGUUGUUUGUUGGUGUGUGUUAACCACAAGAGGAUUAUUUCCACUCAUUACCUCAAAGAGUGUGUUUAAAAG